UCUUGGUACCCAUGUCCAAAACCAAUUGGUUAUAAAUGCAUGAAUUUAUUUCUUGGUUCUCUAGUCUGUACCAUUGUGUCUGUUUUAUACAAGUAUCAUGCUGUUUUGGUUACUAUUGCUUUUUUGUUUUUGUUUUUUGAUACUGGGGAUUGAACCCAGGGUGUUUUACCCCUGAGUUACAUCCCCAGUCCUUUUUAUUUUUAUUUUUUUGAGACAGAUUGCAGAGCCUGGCCUUAAACUUGUGAUCCUCCUGCUUCAUCCUCUCAAGUCGCUGGGAAUACAGGCAUGCUCCACCACACCUGGCUUAUUGCUUUGUUUUUGUUUGUUUGGGCUUUUUGUUAGAAAAGGAGGUUUUGCUAUGUUGCCCAGACUGGUCCCAAACUCCUAGGCUCAAGUGAUCCUCCUGACUCAGCCUCCCAGAUAGCUGGGACUACAGACGUAAGCUACCAUGUUCUGCUUGCAGUCUAUUUCAAAGUCAGGUAGUGUGAUGCCUCCGGUUUUGUUCUGUUGGCUACAGACUGCUCUGGGUAGCAUGCACAUUUCAACAAUAGCAAUUUUUAAAAAUCCGUGAACAUGUGGUGUCUUUCCAGUUUUUGUGUGCUCUUCAAUUUCUUUCAUCAAUGUUUUAUGGUUUUCAUUGUGAGAUCUUUCAUCUCUUUGGGUAAAUUUAUUCCUAGGCAUCUUUUUUUUGGUAGCUAUUGUAAAUGGGAUGCUAUCUUGAUUUCUUUUUCAGAUAGUUU
rnacentral:lncRNA from 1 species